CCUACGGGUGGCAGCAGUGAGGAAUAUUGGUCAAUGGGCGCGAGCCUGAACCAGCCAAGUCGCGUGAGGGAGGACGGCCCUACGGGUUGUAAACCUCUUUUGCCGGGGAGCAACGGGCGUCACGUGUGGCGCCACUGAGAGUACCCGGAGAAAAAGCAUCGGCUAACUCCGUGCCAGCAGCCGCGGUAAUACGGAGGAUGCGAGCGUUAUCCGGAUUUAUUGGGUUUAAAGGGUGCGCAGGCGGAGGCACAAGUCAGCGGUAAAAUCGCGGGGCUCAACCCCGCUCCGCCGUUGAAACUGUGUCCCUUGAGUGCGCGAAGGGUAGGCGGAAUGCGUGGUGUAGCGGUGAAAUGCAUAGAUAUCACGCAGAACUCCGAUCGCGAAGGCAGCCUACCGGCGCGCAACUGACGCUCAUGCACGAAAGCGUGGGUAUCGAACAGGAUUAGAUACCCCUGUAGUC
rnacentral:rRNA from 1 species